rnacentral:rRNA from 1 species
AGCUAAUCAGAAAGCGGGGAUAUGAGUUCAGUCUGCUUGCUAAACGUGCAGUUAUAGCGAAGCUCGGAGGUGGUCUCAAAGGAGACCGAAGCGGGGCGAGUCCGUAUCAAGUGGUAGAAAGCCCAGGGCUGUCCGCACGAGGUUGAGCUUGGGAAGUGUCUUCUAGUCCCAGCCGGUCGCCACGCCGGGCACUCCCGGAGGGCGAGCAGUCGAAGGAACGCGUAGGAUCCAAAGUCUUG